ACGAAGUACAGGCCCUCUCGUAGGGCUAAACUUCCACCCUCUGUUAACUAUACUUUGUUGCUUUGGCGAGACGCCUUCGGGCCACCGGCUUCGGCUGGUGCGCGCUCGCCAGAGAAAACCCAAACCCAAACCAUUUUUAGUGUCGUCUGAAAACAAGUUUAAAUUAUUA
rnacentral:misc_RNA from 1 species